rnacentral:siRNA from 1 species
UGGAUUGCCCUGCUGUGGGGUGAU